rnacentral:rRNA from 1 species
UACGUAGGGGGCAAGCGUUGUCCGGAUUUAUUGGGCGUAAAGAGCGUGUAGGCGGUUUGGUAGGUCCGCUGUGAAAACUCGAGGCUCAACCUCGAGACGCCGGUGGAAACCAUCAGACUAGAGUCCGGAAGAGGAGAGUGGAAUUCCUGGUGUAGCGGUGAAAUGCGUAGAUAUCAGGAGGAACACCGGUGGUGUAGACGGCUCUCUGGACCGUAACUGACGCUGAGACACGAAAGCGUGGGUAGCAAACGGG